AUGAUUAAGAGAGCUAUAUUUGCAAGAGAAUUAGGGGUUCCUAUUGUAAUGCAUGACUACUUAACUGGGGGAUUCACCGCAAAUACUACUUUGGCUCAUUAUUGCCGCGACAAUGGCCUACUUCUUCACAUUCACCGUGCAAUACAUGCAGUUAUUGAUAGACAGAAAAAUCAUGGUAUGCAUUUCCGUGUAUUAGCUAAAGCAUUGCGUAUGUCUGGGGGAGAUCAUAUCCACUCCGGUAAAGUAGUAGGUAAGUUAGAAGGGGAACGCGAAAUGACUUUAGGUUUUGUUGAUUUAUUGCGCGAUGAUUUUAUUGAAAAAGAUCGUGCUCGCGGUAUCUUUUUCACUCAGGACUGGGUAUCCAUGCCAGGUGUUAUACCGGUAGCUUCAGGUGGUAUUCAUGUUUGGCAUAUGCCAGCUCUGACCGAAAUCUUUGCGGACGAUUCUGUGUUACAAUUUGGUGGAGGAACUUUAGGACAUCCUUGGGGAAAUGCACCUGGUGCAGCAGCUAAUCGAGUGGCUUUAGAAGUGUGA
rnacentral:rRNA from 1 species